GGGGAAUAUUGCACAAUGGGCGCAAGCCUGAUGCAGCCAUGCCGCGUGUAUGAAGAAGGCCUUCGGGUUGUAAAGUACUUUCAGCGGGGAGGAAGGGAGUAAAGUUAAUACCUUUGCUCAUUGACGUUACCCGCAGAAGAAGCACCGGCUAACUCCGUGCCAGCAGCCGCGGUAAUACGGAGGGUGCAAGCGUUAAUCGGAAUAACUGGGCGUAAAGCGCACGCAGGCGGUUGGAUAAGCGAGAUGUGAAAGCCCCGGGCUCAACCUGGGAACUGCAUUUCGAACUGUCCGACUAGAGUCUUGUAGAGGGGGGUAGAAUUCCAGGUGUAGCGGUGAGAUGCGUAGAGAUCUGGAGGAAUACCGGUGGCGAAGGCGGCCCCCUGGACAAAGACUGACGCUCAGGUGCGAAAGCGUGGGGAGCAAAC
rnacentral:rRNA from 1 species